rnacentral:tRNA from 1 species
GGGUGGUUCGCAUAGCGGCAAUUGCACGUGGCUGUAAACCACGCGGCCGGAAGGCCUCCGGGGGUUCGAGUCCCUCACCACCCA